GAGUUUAGGGUUUAUCCAAGGGUUUAGGGUUUAGGAUUAAGGGUUUAGGGAUUAGGAUUUAGGGUUUAGGGUUUAAUGUUACGCUGACGAUGUAAAAUAUUUUUUUUUAAUUACUACUAUUUUUUUUUUACCUUUUUAAUUUUAAAAACAUAAUAUAAUUUGACAAUAUUUUGUUUCCUUUUUUAAAAGAUAUCGAAUAUAAAAUGAAACAAUCCUAUUGGUUAGUGAACCUAAAG
rnacentral:lncRNA from 1 species